GACGAACGCUGGCGGCGUGCCUAAAACAUGCAAGUCGAACGGUGGCUUCGGCCACAGUGGCGAACGGCGGAGUAAUACGUGAACAACGUGCCCUGAAGACCGGGAUAGUCGCGGGAAACUGCGGGUAAUACCGGAUGUUGCGGAGGCUCGGCAUCGAGCUUCCACCAAAUGGUUUUUCGCUUCAGGAGCGGUUCACGGCCUAUCAGGUAGUUGGUGGGGUAACGGCCUACCAAGCCGACGACGGGUAGCGGGUCUGAGAGGAUGAUCCGCCCGAGUGGGACGUGAGACACGGCCCGACACACCUACGGGUGGCAGCAGUUGGGAAGUCAUUGGCGAAUGGGGGAAACCCGUGACCAUGCGACGCCGCGUGGAGGACGAA
rnacentral:rRNA from 1 species